rnacentral:rRNA from 1 species
CAGCAGUAGGGAAUCUUCCGCAAUGGGCGAAAGGCUGACGGAGCGACGCCGCGUGAGUGAUGAAGGCCUUCGGGUUGUAAAGCUCUGUGGGGAGAGAAGAAUAAGUGUGAGUGAAUAUCUUAUCUGAUGACGGUAUCUCCUUAGCAAGCACCGGCUAACUCUGUGCCAGCAGCCGCGGUAAGACAGAGGGUGCCAACGUUGUUCGGAUUUACUGGGCGUAAAGCGGGGGUAGGCGGCUUGGCAAGUUGGAUGUUAAGCCCACGGCUCAACCGUGGAAGAGCAUCCGAAACUGCUUCGCUCGAGUCUCGGAGAGGAAGGUGGAAUGCUUGGUGUAGAGGUGAAAUUCGUAGAUUCAAGCAGAACACCUGCGGCGAAGGCGGCCUUCUGGACGAUGACUGACGCUGAGGCGCGAAAGCGUGGGGAGCAAACAGGAUUAGAUACCCGG